UACGUUCGUGACUCAUAAUUAUAUGAAACGUUUAUGAACCCCUCAGUGAAUGGACGCCAAAGGUCUGUCUAGGACAAGUUCUUAAACUUGUAUGAUUGUGGAAAGUUUCUGAACUCAUAAGUGUGGUAAGUUUGACGAAUUGGGUAGAACUAUGUGUGAAUGAAAUAUUGAGGAUAAUAGGAAUAGAUAGACUGAUUAGGCAAUGGAUUAUUAGUGGAGACCUAUGUUUUCCCAAAUCUGCUAGCUAUGCUAGACUUCGAAAUUUUUG
rnacentral:lncRNA from 1 species